AAACAAGGUGGACAAGCAAACUUAUGAGGCCACUCGUACUAGUCCAAUGGAUAAUAAGAUCUUGGACAUGUGGACCGAAGAUGAUGAUCAAGUGACAGUUCAAGGAUGUAAAGAAAAUGAGAAAAAAAAAAUGAAAAUGGAAAUGGUCCAAGUAAGAAAUUAAUGGACAAAAGCAUCAAAUGGUAAAGAGUUGGAGACAUCAUAGGAAAAUGACAAAAUAAGGGGAUUGAUAUUAUUCUAGACGGGAAAAGAGAUUUGAAUGUCUAUCGUUACGCGAUAUGUCUUAAAUCGGUCGACAUAAUAAAAACCUACUUUAAAUACAACUUAUGAUUGCUAAAUUAAUCCUGUUGUAUAUUCACACUCUCACAAGUCAAAACUUAUUCCUUUACACACUGCAACGAAAAUGAAAGAGUGUGGAAGAAAUAGUGAGAAAUGCAAGGGAACAAGUUAUGAUCACAGUGUGAAGAAAAUACAAAAGGACUGCUCUUCCCAGAGCCAUGCUUAGAGGCUUUUGAAAAAGGCAUUUGCCUAGGCCCCAAAUUUUGUAGAAAUUUUAGGGCUCCAAAUUAUAAAAAAAAAAUACUUUUACAUGGUAAUUAACAUAUUUUCUUAGUUAGAUUUUUAUUUUUAUUUGAAUUUAAAUUGGACUUAUGUUUAAAGUAACUAGGUUUGUGAUCAUUUUUGAUAUAUUUUAAAUAAAACUAUAAAAAUUCUACUUCUAAAAAACUGUAAAUAUUUGAUCACAUUGGUCUUUUCUUUUAUAUGCUAUGAGUUAGAUUUAUUUUAUAUAUUUAUGAAAAUUUGAUAAAGAAAAUAUAAUAUUUUCAAUAUAUAGUUAAUUUAAAUGCUAAGAUUUAUAUUUUUGACACCGACCAACAUUUCAAUCAAAAAUUUAUAUCUUUGUAUUUAUAUUACAAAUUCAUACUUUUUGUUCAUGAUUUAAAAAUUUUAUUUUAUAAAAUUUUGGUGAAGAAAAUUUAGAAAACAUUUAUGUAAUAAUUCAAAACUUUUGAAUGUUAUAUAUAUAUAUAUAUAUUAUUAAAAAUAUAUCAUAUAAAAUAUAUUUUUGAACUCGCCUCGGGCCUCCGAAAACCUUCGCACGGCACUGGCUCUUCCGAAAAUCAGCUGUUUUUCCUCGUAUAUAUAGAGAGACAAUAUUUCUUGAGAACUAAAUAAAAAAAUAGAGGAUACUAUAAAGUGAAUAAAUCUGAAUCAUCUCAUGGUUUAUAUAAAUAUUCUUACUUUUUUUUCUUUUUAAUACAGACCAUAUAUAAAAGAAAAAAUAAAAACGAAAAGAAAUUGAAGUAUGAUUAUUUUUCUAAAGCAUACUAUUCAAGACCUAUCUAAAGGCCAGUACCUGCAGUCUUAAAAGUCUUACUGUUUGUAUCUUAUAUUGUAAUAUCUUAACUUUCAUUUUUUUAAAUGAUUUUCUCAUUUUUAGCAAAAAAAAAAAAUCUACCUUGAUAUAUAUGGGACUUAAAAUAGUUACGGAUUAGCGAGGGGGUUAUACAGAACGGUUUAUAAAUAUUAAUCACUAAAAUUUUGGGAGUCAAAUGGAAUGUGUAUAUAUGUCCAAAACUGGUCAUGAUAUUAUUCUAGCCAUAGUUCUUUUAACAUCUACUUAAGACAGUUUGAUCAUAGAUUCAUAAAGUGUUUUAGAAAUGCCUAGUGUCAGUGUUAGUUUAUUUACACCGCACGGAAGAAGUGAAGCAUAUGGAAACAAUACAUAUCGUAGUUCCAUAAUAUCAUUAGAGGAAUACAUAACACAGAUGAGCAAUUAAUAGACCUUCGUAUAUAAAGAAAGACAUGAAACACACAAAUUCUAAAAACAACACACAACAGUAAAAUGAUACACUUAUACUAGUGACAUCUUAAUUAUUCUUUAAAACU